ACAAGUUAUAUAAACUGAACAUUUAAAUCUAGGGGGUAAAUGUUUCCAUACCAGAUACCUUGUAUCCUCUUCAAUCCACAGCAAAUUUUUGGCCAAAUGGAAAAAUGGUUACUUGACAUCCUCUCUUAGAUUGGCCUCUUCCCCCAGUCAGAGACAAUGGGCUGGACAUUGAUAGUCCUGCAGAUACCUGAGACUAUUCAGAAUUAUCUGAGGCCUGGUCUACACUACAAGGUUAGGUCCAAUUUAGGUCAAGUUUAUAAUGAAUGUGUCUACACAACCAACCCUGUUCUGCUGACCUAAAGGGCUCUUAAAAUCGACUGCUGUACUCCUCCCUGAUGAGGGGAGUAGUGCUAAAAUUGACUUUCCUGGGUUGAAUUUGGGGUAGUGUAGAUGCAGGAUUGUGCAAUUUGAUGGUAUUGGCCUCUAGCAGCUAUCCCAGAGUGCUCCAAUGUGACUGCUCUGGACAGCACUUUCAACUCCGAUGCAUUAGCCACGUACACAGGAAAAGCAACGGGAACUUUAGAAUUUCAUUUUGUUCGGUCAGCAUGGCGAGCUCAGCAGAACAGGUGACCAUGCAGUCCCAGAAUUGCAAACGAGCUCCAGCAUGGAGCAAACGGGAGACACUGGAUCUGAUUGCAGUAUGGGGAGAAGAAUCUGUGCAGGCAGAACUCCAAUCCAGCAAAAGAAAUGCUGAUAUAUAUGCCAAAAUCACACAGGGCAUGGUGGAGAAAGGCUACACCAGGGAUGCACAGCAGUGCCAUGUGAAAAUUAAGGCGCUCAGGCAAGCCUACCAAAAGACAAAGGAGGCAAACGGUCACUCUGGGUCAGAUCCCCAGACAUGCCGCUUCUAUUAUCAGCUGCAUGCGAUUCUAAGGGGGGAUCCUACCAGUACCCCAACAUUCUCCGUGGACACCUGCAAGGUGGUAGCCUCACACAACACGGAUGAGGAUUUUGGGGAUGAAGAAGAGGAGGAGGAGGAGGAGAAUGUGUAGCAGGCAAGUAGAGAACCCGUCCUCCCUGGCAGCCAGGACCUUUUCCUCACACUGGAGCCAAUACCCUCCCAGUGCCUAUUGUUCCCGGACCCUGAAGGUGGAGAAGGCACCUUUGGUGAGUGCACAUGUGUAAUGACACUACAGGAGUUAAAAACAAUUGUGUUUAAUGUUUGAUUUGCCCUGAACAAUUGGGAUGCAUUCACGGCCAGUACAGCUGCUGGAAAAGUCUGUUAAUGUGUCUGGGGAUGGAGCAGGAAUCCUCCAGGGACAUCUCCCUGAAGCUCUCCUGGAGGUACUCAAACCCUUUGCAGAAAGUUUCUGGGGAGGGCUGCCUUAUUUUGUCCUACACAGUAGGACGCUUACCACGCCAAGCCAGUAGCAAAUGGUCUGGAAUCAUUGCAGCACAAUGGUCCUGAGUUUUGGUCACAUUCAUGCAACAUUCGGUCUUUAUCUUUCUGUGUCAGGCUCAGGAGAGUGAUAUCAUUCAUAGUCACCUGGUUGAAAUAGGGGAAGUUUUGUAAGGGAACAGUAAUCCCCUAUUUGGUGAUCCCUGACACAUCAGACCCUAGGCAUGCUAGGCUGUUUGUGCUUGGCUAAAAGGGAUCAUCCCAGAAAAUAGCCAUGCUGGGGGGAAGAGGUGUGAUGCACAUCCACCCCAAAACCGCAGCCCCUCCUUUUGAACGGCAAACACACCUGGCACUGGUUCCUCCCGGAAAGGAGGGCGCUGCAGUUUGAAACCAUUCCUACAUGUUAUGAACGUGGAAGAAGCCAACUCCACCUACCCUUUGGCUUACCAUGGCUGCCUGGAUACCGAAUUCUAUUGCCCAGCCAUGUGUGAUGUGUCACCAUACCAGCAGGCGCUCAAUACAAAAGGCAAAAUGUGACCUUGUACCUAAAAUACACCUGCUGUCUACUGUGAAUUGCUUGAUUCACUGUGAAAGAAUCUCCCUUUUGUUCUCAGAAAUGUGUCGUCUUAAAAGUCUACUCUCCCUUUUGCCCCGCUGCAGCUGCAAAUGCUUCUAAGCUCCCCACAUUAACUCCGUCCUGAGGUUACUGCAGAUUAGAAGGCAAAAAAAAAUGUACUCGCGAUGACAUGUUUUCAGAGAUCAUGCAGUCCUCCCGCACUGAUAGGGCACAGCUGAAUGCAUGGAGGCAGUCGGUGGCAGAGGCCAGGAAAGCAUACAGUGAGCGUGAUGGGAACACACAGGAGGAGAUGCUGAGGCUAAUGGGGGAACAAACGGACAUGAUGAGGCAUCUGGUGGAGCUGCAGGAAAGGCAACUAGAAUACAGACCCCCGCUGCAGCCAUUGUGUAAUCGCCUGCCCUCCUCACCAAGUUCCAUAUCCUCCUCACCCAGACGCCCAAGAACGCAGGGGGGUGGAGGUUCUGGGUAUCCAGCCACUCCAGGGGAUGGCCCAAGCAACAGAAGGCUGUCAUUCAAACAGCUUUGAUUUGUAGUGUGGCUACAAUAACCAAUGUGGCCUUGUCCUUCCCUCCUCCCCCACCCCGCCCCAUUAUCAAACCCUUUGUACACCUGUGCUACAUUUUACUAGUCAGCAUUGUCAGUGAUCUCAAGUUUUCUUUUUAAUAAAUAAAGAAUGAAUGGAUUCAGAACAAUAGGGACUUUAUUUCCUGUGCCAGCUGUGGUCGAGGGGGGCGGGGGAUUGGCUUACAGGGAAGUACAUUCACCAAAAGGGGCAGCUUUGCAACAAGGACAAACAGACAACUGUCACACCAUAGCCUGGUCAGUCAUGAAACUGUUUUUCAAAGCCUCUCUGAUGUGCAGCGGACCUCGGUGUGCUCUUUGAAUUACCUUGGUGUCUGGCUGUUCAAAAUUGGCCACCAGGCGAUCUGCUUCAACCUCCCACCCCGCCAUAAACGUUUCCCCCUUACUCUCACAGAUAUUAUGGAGCACACAGCAAGCAGCAAUAACAAUGGGAAUAUUGCUUCGCUGAAGUCUAACCUAUUCAGCAAACAGUGCCAGCGCCCUUUUAAACAUCCAAAGGCACAUUCUACCACCAUUCUGCACUUGCUCAGCCUAUAAUUUAAUUGCUCCUUUCUGCUGUCCAGGCUGCCUGUGUACGGCGUCAUGAGCCAUGGGAGCAAGGGGUAUGCUGGGUCCCAAGGAUAACUAUUGGCAUUUCAACAUCCGCAACAGUCAUUUUCUGAUCUGGGAAGAAAGUUCCUUCUUGUAGCUUUCCGAACAGCCUGGAGUUCCGAAAGAUGUGAGCGUCAUGCACCUUUCCCGAUCAUCCCACAUUGAUGUCGGUGAAAUGGCCCUUGUGGUCAACCAGUGCUUGCAACACCAUUGAGAAGUACCCCUUGGGGUUUAUGUAUUAUUUGGCAAAGUGGUCCGGUGCCAAGAUAGGGAUACGUGUUCCGUCUAUUGCCUCACCACAGUUAAGGAGCCCAUUGCAACAAAGCCAUCCACUAUGACCUACACAUUUCCCAGAAGGAUAUUGAUUCCCCUGGCUACUUGGAUUACAGCAGCCCCCAUGGUAGAUCUGCCCACUCCAAAUUGAUUCCCGACUGACCGGUAGCAGUCAGGCAUUGCAAGCUUCCAUAGGGUUAUUGCCACUCACUUCUCAACUGUCAGGGCAGGUUCAUCUUAGUAUUCCUGCGCUUCAGGGUGGGAGAAAGCAACUCACAAACUUCCAUGAAAGUGGCAUUACACAUUCAAAAGUUUCUCAGCCACUGGGAAUCAUCCCAUACCUGCAACACUGUGCGCUCCAACCAGUCUUUGCUUGUUUGUCGGGCCCAGAAUCCGCGUUCCGCUGUAUCAACAUGCCCCAAUGCUGCCAUGAUAUCCCAAUUGCCACAUCCCAUGCUUUCAGGAACAUCUGUGUCCAUGUCCUCCUCCCAAUCUUCUUCAUGCAGGUGGCUCCUAGCUAGGCUCUACACAUACUGCAGGAUAAUGCGUGAGGUGUUUACAAUGCUCACAAAAGCAGUGUGCAGCUGAGCGGGCUCCAUGCUUGCCGUGCUAUGGCCUCUGCACAGAUAACCCAGGAAAAAAGGUGCGAAAUGAUUGUUUGCUGUUGCUUUCAAGGAGGGAGGGAGGCUGACAACUUGUACCCAAAAUCACCCACGACAAUGUUUUUGCCCCUCAGGUAUUGGGAGCUUAACCCAGAAUUCCAAUGGGCAGUGGGGACUGUGGGAUAGCUACCCACAGUGCAUCACUCUGAGUUGAUGCUAGCCACAGUAUUGAGGACACACUCUGCCCAUCUAAUGCGCUUAGUGGGGACAUGCACAAUCGACUGUAUAAAAUUGCUUACUAAAGAUCGACUUCUAUAAAAUGGACCUAAUUUUGUAGUGUAGACAUGGCCUUAUACCCCUCUGCCACCUGAGUCAGACAAGUACUCACAAAGCAGUAUGGAAACACUUAAAGUUAUAUAAUCUCUUAAGAAAUAAACAGUGAUGUUUUCAACUGUUUUAACUAUAUACAGUAUCUGGAACCUCAAAAUGCCAUCAUGAAGAUAGUCGAAAGACUUCUCAGAAAUGAACUCAGGUAACAUGUUUUCCAUUUUAGAUUCUUUCCUCUUCCCGAGCCUGAUUCCUUUGGCACAUAGCGAAUAGUAAAAAAAAAAAAAAAAAAAAAAUUAAGGGAGCAAUAAGCAGGACAGACAUAAGAUCCCAUCCUCCCUUCCCUAAAAUUAGAAGCAUUGAUCUAUUUUGGGAAUACUACUUAGAGUACCUUCCUGCCAAAGGAUGUUUCUGCAGAGAAGCAAAGGUCAAGCCACUGGUGCUUUAUAUAUGUGUUGAUGAAUGAGCAGGUGGCAGUUUACUUAGACUUCCUCUGUGAUGGCUGCCCCCCUUUCUGUCCAAGAGAUUCCCCAAUGGAAAAAGGGUUGAGGGGGCUCUGAUCCCUCCUGGAAUAGGUUUAUCUGCAAGGGAAAAUGUUACGACACUUAGCAAUGGAGGAUUUGGAUGCUUUUAGGUACAGACAUGAAGAAAGGAAAACAGUUUUCCUGAAGUGAUCCUAUUAACCUGUAUUUUAACAGUUCUUCUCACAUCCAGAAAGUGCCUCACAUUCUUUUUUGGGUGUUGAGGCUUUGAGCAAACUUAUGGGAGAAUUAUUUCCUGUGAAGUACGGAAAUGAGAGUUAACUUUUGUUAUUAAUGACUGCACUAUAUGAA